AUGGAGUGUGGAAGAAAGACAAUGAUGAGAUGUUUCCAGCCUGAGGCUGGCGCGGCCUUAGUUCUUGGCGACAUCAUCGAACCCCUCUCCAGCCCCAACGGAACCAAGCAAACCAUCACAAUCAAACUCCUCAAGAGAUUUGGUUCCAAUGGGGGCUACCUCCCAACGGACAAAGCCAUGUCCACGGCCAUGGCGGCGUCUUUCAGCAACAUCCAGAUUAUUGAUCAGAACGGGCAAGCUUCACUCUUGUCCCCCAACUUGUCCGCGUAUAUGACUAGGGCAGACACAUACUCCAUCAGUUCCGUGAUCAAUGGCAAGUUCUUCUAUGGCGGACCCUUCCAGUUGACCGCUUGA
rnacentral:rRNA from 1 species